GGGAAGCCAGAGGCGAAGGAGGGACUCUGGUCUCCUCACCACUUCCUGUCACCUUCAUAAAAACCAAGAAGUAAAAAAAGAGAAGAAUAAAAUUCAUUGGCAAAAAUGCUGAGUUUUCUGCUGCUUCUGGUGCCUGGCUCUGGACUGGGAGUUCUCAUCUCUCAGUUCCCUAGAACUGCAACCCAGAGACCUGGAGAAACCAUGAAGAUAACGUGUGUCCAGAAUGAAACCAGCUACUCUUACAUGUACUGGUACAAGCAGUUCCAGGGAGAUGGUCCAAGGUUAAUAGCCCAAAGUGUGGAUGGGUCCAAUGCUACUUAUGAGGAGGAGUCUAAUGCACCCAAGUUUCCAAUCACUAGACCCAAUACCAGGAUCUCUUCCAUGAGCAUUGUGGAUCUGAGAACCCAGGAUUCAGCCAGCUACUUCUGUGCUGCCACUGAGUACACAGUGCUGUGA